rnacentral:rRNA from 1 species
GAUGAACGCUGGCGGCGUGCCUAAUACAUGCAAGUCGAGCGAACGGACGAGAAGCUUGCUUCUCUGAUGUUAGCGGCUGACGGGUGAGUAACACGUGGAUAACCUACCUAUAAGACUGGGAUAACUUCGGGAAACCGGAGCUAAUACCGGAUAAUAUUUUGAACCGCAUGGUUCAAAAGUGAAAGACGGUCUUGCUGUCACUUAUAGAUGGAUCCGCGCUGCAUUAGCUAGUUGGUAAGGUAACGGCUUACCAAGGCAACGAUGCAUAGCCGACCUGAGAGGGUGAUCGGCAACACUGGAACUGAGACACGGUCCAGACUCCUACGGGAGGCAGCAGUAGGGAAUCUUCCGCAAUGGGCGAAAGCCUGACGGAGCAACGCCGCGUGAGUGAUGAAGGUCUUCGGAUCGUAAAACUCUGUUAUUAGGGAAGAACAUAUGUGUAAGUAACUGUGCACAUCUUGACGGUACCUAAUCAGAAAGCCACGGCUAACUACGUG